rnacentral:rRNA from 1 species
ACCGAAUAGAUACCCAGGUAGUCCACGCCCUAAACGAUGCGAACUGGAUGUUGGGUACAUUACGGUACUCAGUGUCGAAAGCUAAACGCGUUAAGUUCGCCGCCUGGGGAGUACGGUCGCAAGACUGAAACUCAAAGGAAUUGACGGGGGCCCGGCACAAGCGGUGGAGUAUGUGGUUUAAUUCGAUGCAACGCGAAGAACCUUACCUGGCCUUGACAUCUGUCGAAUCCUGCAGAGAUGCGGGAGUGCCGCAAGGAACGACAAGACAGGUGCUGCAUGGCUGUCGUCAGCUCGUGUCGUGAGAUGUUGGGUUAAGUUCCCGCAACGAGCGCAACCCUUGUCCCUAGUUGCCAGCACGUAAUGGUGGGAACUCUAGGGAGACUGCCGGUGACAAACCGG